ensembl:snoRNA
UAGCCUGAAAUGAUGAUGUGAAUUCAUGUCUCUUCUCUGAGAUGUGUUGUGGAGACAGUUAAAUGCAUUUCUGAUYGGGCUU